AAUGAACGCUGGCGGCGUGCUUAACACAUGCAAGUCGAACGAGAAAGGGAUUGCUUGCAAUCCUGAGUAGAGUGGCGCACGGGUGAGUAACACGUAGAUAAUCUACCUUCAAGCCUGGGAUAACUAUUCGAAAGGAUAGCUAAUACCGGAUGAAGUAGCUUGGCCUAAGUCAGGUUAUGAAAGAUUGCCUCUUCUUGAAAGCAAUUGUUUGGAGAUGAGUCUGCGGACCAUUAGUUUGUUGGUGGGGUAAAGGCCUACCAAGACAGCGAUGGUUAGCUGGUCUGAGAGGAUGAUCAGCCACACUGGAACUGGAACACGGUCCAG
rnacentral:rRNA from 1 species